CCUUUUUUUAGCACCGCCACCGUUUAUUCCACCACCGCCUUUGUAUAUACACAAUACUUCUUCCUUUUUAUCUCAAACAUCAGUCUCCUUCUAAUCUCUCCCCCUCUCGAAAUCUUCUCUGUGUCGACAGCCUCUCACUCGAACUGUCCCUUCUCCUAUUCUGUUAAACCUCCCCGCUGCCGAUAUGCUCCACACAAGUCGUCGCCGCUGGUUCCGAUUCCGGCCAAACCUGUUGUGGUCACCCCGCGAAUUUCUUCUUGUCCAUGCCUACUGCUUCUUCCCGGUCGGAAGUUAUCGAUUCUUUUCUCUCCGGGUUUCUCUAUCAUUGAGUCUCCAAAACCUGCAUCAGCUGUGGCAUAUUUGUCCAACGACACAAGCUUUAUUCCACCCCUCGAGUUCAACACAGUUCGAAUUGAAGACAUUGACCGAGGCAUUAAUAGAGAAGUGAUUGAAAGGGGUAUUCAGAAAUAACCAAGUAGUGUUACAAGUUGAAGUAGGGCGGAGAUUUGUUAUAGAUAAAAGCUUGUCAGAAGCUGGCAGAAAGGAAUGAUUAUGCGGUAUAUAGUGUUACUAGGAAUCUGAGCUAAACGUUGGAGUUAAGGCAAGUAUUUCUAUACUUCUCUUGUGGUUAAGACUAGAGAUAAAGAUGAUUCACUUAAGACUAGGCAAGGAUUGCAAGUGGUUGAGUUUCAGGCAGAUGGUCAGGUAGGGUAUCCAGGACGAUAUCAUUACGACUAGAUGCAGUUGGAGUUCUGCAAUUCAAUUCAGUUGGAAAUUAGAUUUGUUUAUUUGGUUAUCAGCUACUCUUCUUAUCGAGGGUUAGCUGAUAAUGUAGUUUAAUUUGUAAUUAAGAUUUUAUAGUUUUAGUUUCUGAUUUCAAUGCAGUAACCUGUA